UGGUUUUAAAGAUAUAAAUAAAUAACUACAAAGACAAUCUUUUUUUAAUUAAAGCUAUUUAUUAUUUGCAGAGCUGUAGCUUGCGGGGCCUCAUUGUUCGGGAACGCCGUGUAACAAAAAGAAAGGCCACGCACUGAGGAGCUGCUGCUUCUGCAAGGGAUCUCUUCAAAACAGAAACCAAACAAAACCGAACAAACCCAACAGUUUACUCUGCAGCCAACAAUGGUUGCUGCCAAAGCCUCGUACCUGGCAGCAUUCAACAGGGAAGAUCAGCACAAUCAGACCUUACAGAAGAAAGAUAUCAAGAUAUUGGAAACUCUCCUGUGACUAUAUUCUGUGCUUUACUGAGAGGAGAAGAGGAGCUCAAUGAAUUUGUCCUUGUGUAGGAGUUUGUGGCAGAACAAGAGGCUGAGCCCUGUUUCCUCCACUCAGACCAGUGCUGCAAUCCCAUGACCAGUGCGCUUCUCUGCAGGCACUUUCCUUGCAUCAUUUCUAC
rnacentral:lncRNA from 1 species